UUAUAGAAGAAACUUUUGGCUGCCUAAUUAAUAUCCAUUCUGUCCUCCACUUAUCCUAAUUACACAGAGGUUUUUAUCUAAGUAUUCACUUCCAUCAUAAUACUGUCCGGGUGCUUUGGAGACAGCAGAACAUACUCCUAAUUCUAAUGGUGUAUUCCAACUGGCUAAAGUCAAUCAACCACUCAGGAUUAUUUCCAUGUUCUGAAAUUAUGUGACUGUGACUAGCACCCUUCCUAUAACUGUCAGAAAUCAGCCUUAGAAUAAAGCUGAUACUAGACAAGGCAGAGCCCUGGC
rnacentral:lncRNA from 1 species